ACCCCAUCGAGCUUGGUUACUUAUAUUAUUUUUUAUAUGUGAGGAUGUUUUGUCGGGGCUGAUAGGGAGGGAAAGAAUGCCUCCUUUGUUAAUAUGAAGAUCCGGUAUUAGGCCGAUUGGAAGAAGAUAGUUACCGUGGGGAUAACAGCGCAAUGUUCCCAUUAAGCACAUAUUUGAGGGGGCGGUUGCGACCUCGAUGUUGAAUCAGGAUUAUCUAUUAGGUGCAGCAGCUUAGUAAGUGGGACUGUUCGUCCUUUGAAAUCCUACGUGAUCUGAGUUCAGACCGG
rnacentral:rRNA from 1 species